GAUGAACGCUGGCGGCGUGCUUAACACAUGCAAGUCGAACGGUGAAGGCGGAGCUUGCUCUGCUGGAUCAGUGGCGAACGGGUGAGUAACACGUGAGCAAUCUGCCCCUGACUCUGGGAUAAGCGCUGGAAACGGCGUCUAAUACUGGAUACGAGCUGCGAAGGCAUCUUCAGCAGCUGGAAAGAACUUCGGUCAGGGAUGAGCUCGCGGCCUAUCAGCUUGUUGGUGGGGUAAUGGCUCACCAAGGCGUCGACGGGUAGCCGGCCUGAGAGGGUGACCGGCCACACUGGGACUGAGACACGGCCCAGACUCCUACGGGAGGCAGCAGUGGGGAAUAUUGCACAAUGGGCGAAAGCCUGAUGCAGCAACGCCGCGUGAGGGACGACGGCCUUCGGGUUGUAAACCUCUUUUAGCAGGGAAGAAGCGAAAGUGACGGUACCUGCAGAAAAAGCGCCGGCUAACUACGUG
rnacentral:rRNA from 1 species